GAAGAACUGGAGCACAGAAUAAUUGGGCUAUUGGACCACUGACACAACUGCGGAUUAGUCUACCGAUCAACGUGUUCAGUAAAAUAUAUCUGCUCAAAAACUGAUUCUUAUGAUCACCACUGGAUUUAGAAAAGACUCUUAUCACUGUUGGACUCUUUCCAAAAUGGAGCGAAAAGCCUUUAUCAUAAUGUGGAUUUUUUUUGCAACAGUUCAAGUUGGAACAACUCAGUCCACAACAGAUUCAACAUCACCAUCAUCUGUUAGUACAGUGGACACCUCUGCAACACCCACAGCUACAACAACAUCUUCAACAACCAUGACAGCGGUUACUGAAUCAUCCACCACUACUGCAGGAGUAACCACAACAUCCCCACAAACAAGUUUUACAACAGCUGAAUCCUCCAC